AUUGAACGCUGGCGGCAUGCCUUACACAUGCAAGUCGAACGGCAGCACGGGUGCUUGCACCUGGUGGCGAGUGGCGAACGGGUGAGUAAUGUAUCGGAACGUACCAUUCAGUGGGGGAUGACGUAGCGAAAGUUACGCUAAUACCGCAUAUUCUCUGAGGAGGAAAGUAGGGGAUAGCAAGACCUUGCGCUGAUUGAGCGGCCGAUAUCGGAUUAGCUAGUUGGUGAGGUAAAGGCUCACCAAGGCGACGAUCCGUAGCUGGUCUGAGAGGAUGAUCAGCCACACUGGAACUGAGACACGGUCCAGACUCCUACGGGAGGCAGCAGUGGGGAAUUUUGGACAAUGGGGGCAACCCUGAUCCAGCCAUGCCGCGUGAGUGAAGAAGGCCUUCGGGUUGUAAAGCUCUUUCGCGAGGGAAGAAAGCGCAACGGUUAAUACCCGUUGUGGAUGACGGUACCUUGAUAAGAAGCACCGGCUAACUACGUGCCAGCCGCCCUGUAA
rnacentral:rRNA from 1 species